UCUCCGUUGGUGAACCAGCGGAGGGAUCAUUAAUGGACCCGCAAGACUCCUUAACCCCUGUGAACUUACUGUUUAUACGUUGCUUCGGCGGGUGCUCCGGGGUCCGCCCCGGGGCGCUGCGCCCGCCGGCAGCCUACUAAUUCUGUUUCUCUGCGUUGGCAUCUCGAGUAAGCAAAAUAAGUUAAAACUUUCAACAACGGAUCUCUUGGUUCUG
rnacentral:misc_RNA from 1 species